rnacentral:rRNA from 1 species
CAGUAGCCACGGUAAUACAGAGGGUGCGAGCGUUAAUCGGAUUUACUGGGCGUAAAGCGUGCGUAGGCGGCUUCUUAAGUCGGAUGUGAAAUCCCUGAGCUUAACUUAGGAAUUGCAUUCGAUACUGGGAAGCUAGAGUAUGGGAGAGGAUGGUAGAAUUCCAGGUGUAGCGGUGAAAUGCGUAGAGAUCUGGAGGAAUACCGAUGGCGUAGGCAGCCAUCUGGCCUAAUACUGACGCUGAGGUACGAAAGCAUGGGGAGCAAACAGGAUUAGAUACCCCGGUAGUCCCUGUCUCUUAUAC